rnacentral:rRNA from 1 species
UACGUAGGGUGCAAGCGUUGUCCGGAAUUAUUGGGCGUAAAGAGUUCGUAGGCGGUUUAUUAAGUCUGGUGUUAAAGCCCGGAGCUCAACUCCGGCAUGGCAUCGGAAACUGGUAGACUUGAGUGUGGUAGAGGCAAGGGGAAUUCCCGGUGUAGCGGUGAAAUGCGUAGAUAUCAGGAGGAACACCGGUGGCGAAGGCGGGUCUCUGGGCCGAUACUGACGCUGAGGAGCGAAAGCGUGGGGAGCGAACAGG